rnacentral:rRNA from 1 species
AUGGAUGUCAAACUUGGGAAUGAUCCUCGGAGAGAUGAAGUUUAUAUCGAAACACAUACAUGCAAGAAAGGGGAAAGGAAAGGGAGUUAUGUGCCGCAGGCAGCAGCAACAAUUAAAGAACUCAUAGAGAGUGCUGAAAAGCACCCUGAAUGGAAGGAUAAAAGCAUUAAAGAAGGCGAUUUGUUUGUACGUGUAUGUGGACUGAAGGAGCCCAGGGGUCGUGUCCGUGUGUUAGGUCUAGGGCCAACACCUCAAGAUUUGGGCACACCGGGUACAUGGGGUAAACUGAGCACAAGAGUUCUAGUUGCAAUGGAAGGGCGGUGA